GGUAGGAUAGAGGCCUACCAUGGUUUUAACGGGUAACGGGGAAUUAGGGUUCGAUUCCGGAGAGGGAGCCUGAGAAACGGCUACCACAUCCAAGGAAGGCAGCAGGCGCGCAAAUUACCCAAUCCCGACACGGGGAGGUAGUGACAAUAAAUAACAAUACGGGGCUCAUUUGGGUCUCGUAAUUGGAAUGAGUACAAUUUAAAUCUCUUAACGAGGAACAAUUGGAGGGCAAGUCUGGUGCCAGCAGCCGCGGUAAUUCCAGCUCCAAUAGCGUAUAUUAAAGUUGUUGCAGUUAAAAAGCUCGUAGUUGAACUUCGGGGUUUACCCAUUGGUCAGGCUUAAUUGUCUGCACUGGUGAGAUGAAUCUCUACCUUCUGAGGAACUUUCAUGCCAUUUAUUUGGUGUGAUGGGAAAUCAGGACUGUUACUUUGAAAAAAUUAGAGUGUUUAAAGCAGGCUAACGUCUGAAUACAUUAGCAUGGAAUAAUGAAAUAGGACGGACUGAUUCUAUUUCGUUGGUUUCUAGGAUCACCGUAAUGAUUAAUAGGGAUAGUUGGGGGCAUUAGUAUUCAAUUGUCAGAGGUGAAAUUCUUGGAUUUAUUGAAGACUAACUACUGCGAAAGCAUUUGCCAAGGAUGUUUUCAUUAAUCAAGAACGAAAGUUAGGGGAUCGAAGACGAUCAGAUACCGUCGUAGUCUUAACCAUAAACUAUGCCGACUAGGGAUCGGACGAAGUUAAUUUUAUAAUGA
rnacentral:rRNA from 1 species